CUCUUCAAACGAUGGCAGACUUUGUCUGUGGGACCUGCAGACAGGCCAGCGUCUCCGAGAAAUCACCUGGAAGAGUUCUCUGAACUCUGUCUGCUGUCUGGGGCAGUAUGUGAUCGCCGGCUGUGCAGAGGGAGCACUGCAUGUGUGGAUGUGGGGGACAAACAUAGAAAUCUGCCAUAUUCCUGCUCACAGGCAGCGUAUACACCACUGCUCUCUCCUCCCAAACAAAGAGAAGAACACAGAAGUCAACCCAGAAGAAAUGAGUGUUUUCACUGCGUCUGAUGACGGCACAGUGCAGCUUUGGAAACCACUGGAGGUCUGUCAAUCAAAAUAAAAU